CUCAUUACAGAUGGUUGUGAGCCACCAUAUAGUUGCUGGGAAUUGAACUCAGGACCUCUGGAAGAACAGCCAGUGCUCUUAACCUCUGAGCCAUCUCUCCAGCCCCCUUAAAUACUUCUUUGUCGUGUUUUUCCAUACAGGGCUGUCCUAGAACUCACUGUAGACCAGGCUGGCCUUGAACUCAGAGAUCUGCCUGCCUCUACCUCCUGAGUACUGGAAUUAAAGGUGUGAUCCACCACCACCUGGUUAAAUACUUUUUUUUAAUUGGAAACCCUGACUCACUCUGUUGCCCUUACUGGCCUACAACUCUAUGCAGAUGGAUGAAGACAAUAAAUAAAAAGCCUGUAGGUCAGGAUGCAGCUCUCGUCUCCACGGCUCCAGCGCCAUGCCUUCCGCCACGCUCCCUCCCCACCAUGAUGCUAAUGGACUAAACCUCAGAAACAGUAAGCAAGUCCCCACUGAAACGCUCUCUUUUGUAAGGGUUGUCUUGGUCAUGGUGUCUCUUCACAGCAAUGGAACAGUGACUGGGCCAGUGCUGAACAACUGUAAUGACCCACUUGCGAGGACAGAAGCAGAAGGAGCAGGAGCACAAUGUCAGCCUUAGCAGGAGUGUAAGGCUGGCUUAGGACAGAUGAGACCCUAUCUCAAGAAAACAAACAAAAAGCUAAAGGAAUAUAAUAUAUUAGUUAGGUGUAGCCUCUUCUUGUUCUCGAGGAACUCCUGUGGCAGACAGGCUUCUUUGUCAACAGAGGCCCAGGGAAGGUUAGUGCCAUAGUACUCAGUCCAAGCAGGCUUGGUUGACAUGGCUUUGACUUGAGCUCCGUAGCAGCCAGACUCCCACCUCCUCUGAGCCCUACUUCAAGCUGUGGAGACUUUCUAUGGCCUAACUCCUGGGCAAGGUUAGGAUACUCUUCUCCCGGACACCAACAGCACGUGAGGCAUUUGUGGUACAUUUCUGUCCAGAGGUCUCAAUACUCCUCUGCCUGUCAGGGUUGAGGAAGCAUCACGCUUAGCUCCCCACAGGGGACUCUUCCUUGCUCUGUCUCCAGUCAGAACUAAAGGCCCAGAUCCUUCCUGCAUGUGUGUCGAUAAGGGGUGCAUAACCCUAGCAACUUGGGAGGUGGAGGCAGAGAGACCACAAGCUCAGGGACAGUAUGGGCAGCUCAGGGACAGUAUGGGCAGCUCAGGGACAGUAUGGGUGGCUCAGGGACAGUAUGGGCGGCUCAGGGACAGUAUGGGCGGCUCAGGGAGUCAACAAUAAAGAAACCGGUGCAGCUCAGGAAUAGAAUGUCUGCCUGGCACACACAUCCCACCCUCUUGCCCUCGGAGUCCUGACUCAGCCAGCUGCAUGCGUUACUCUAGGCAGCUGGAGCCCAAGGCAGGCAUAUCCAGAGAAGGAAAUCGUCAAGAGCAAUAUGGUCCUGCACGGUGUGCCAUGGACACAGAAGUAAAUGGGACUGAACCCCGGCAUCCUGAGGUGGACUCUCCCAUGGUCCCUGUGAUCCAGUCCAAGCCAGAUCUUUGGGCCUCCUGGAGUACUUACCCGCUUUGUACCUGUACACUGCAAAGGACGGGGUGAGCUCCCCUCCCUGGCCUUGCCCCGCAGCCCCCCAACUCUCUGCAGUGUGCACCUUGACGCUGACCUCCCCAGCCCAGCUCCCGCUUCUUUCAGGGAGCUCCCCAGCCUUUGUGGCUUCCAGCUCUGAGCUCCAAGGCCAUGACUCUUCUGACAAAAAGAGCCGCUCUAGGGGUUAUCAUGAGGAUGAGGUAGAGCUGUGGAGCUCUGCGUGCCCGGGCCCAUUUACGCAAUCAACACUGGGGCCUCUUAAAUCCUUUGCGGUGAGGGUGAUGUCAUGGGGUUCUUGAACUUCACUCUGUCUGGUCUUGGCCUAACCCAGUGCUCCAGGCCUGCACCUUCAUCUUUCGCCUGCAUCUAAUUCUGUGCUCAGCCUCAAGAAGGCUCCUUGGGGAGUUCCUUUGCUACCCAGAAGUCAGGAGCAGUUGGUUGAACUUUGAUUUCAGAGCUAGGGAAAAACAAAAGCUAGGACACUUCAGAGGCAAGCUCAGAACUGACCCGUGUCACAUGUCCUUGGAGAAAGCAGUUUGCUUUAAUAAACCAUUUCUGGGAAAGGGUAAUAGGAGUUUUAUUUUCAGUCACUGAUGACAGUAACCACUGUAACUGAGCAGAGCUUGCCUCUUGUCAAGGUGAGAGCAGGAUGCCCAGGAGGGUACAGCCAGAAGGAAUCAUUCCCAGGGUGGGUCUUACUGAUGGCGCCUUAUCGGGCGAGGGCAGCCAGGGAGCAUGGACCUCCAGGGUGGACUCCCAUGGACAGCACAUUGUCAGUAAGACAUAGGGGUUGGACUGGCAAGUUGAAUCUGGAGGAGGUUCUCCACCAAGCGGAGGCCCAGAUGAAACAUGUCACAAUCAUGCUUUCCUUGGAGAAGAGCCUGCAGGGGCCUCUAGAUGGAUGAGGGCAGGGACAGCUUCAGUGUGCCGUGACAUUUAGGGCUGAAGGCAGGGACCCUCGGAGGGAGUGGCAGAGAGUAGACAGAAGACGAGACUGUUUCUUUACAUCCAGCCCAGGGUUGCCCAGCCCCCUCUCAUGCUGUCUCCCACCCAAGGCUUGACCUUCCAUUGGUUCUCAGGACCCGUGUGUGCCCAGGGCUCUGUCAGAGCAUUAAAGUGAGAGUCUGGGCAGCAGAGGAAACCAUCUGGGGACAAGAAGUGAUUGCAGAGUGUUGACUGAGGACCCAGGGAUGAAUGGGGUGAGGGGACAAGCCUGGGGUGCUCAGUGUGGAAACUAAGAGGGCUCGGAACCCUCCCAGAGCACACAGUCUGUAUUCCAAGAUGGGAGAGAGAAGAAGAAACAGAAGCUGAAGAAGCAGGAUGCCUAGGGAGGCAGUGACCAUUCCUCAGGCCACAAGGGCUUGACAGGAACAACACAGCAGUUGACUUCUAAUCAGCUCACUGGCAGCUGGAAGCCCUAUGGAAACAGUCGUCCAUCCGUCUGUGUGUGUCCCCCACCCCCGGUCAGCUGCAUGUCAAAUCCUUAGGGAGCCACAAGGUGGCUGUGAGCAGCUCCUGGAGAAGCUCCUGCAGAGCUUUGAUGGCUACCCAGACGGCUCUGGGUGAGCCCAGGCAGGACUGGGGAGCCUGGGAGGAGCUCCAGCCAUGGUCUGAGAGGCCUGAGGGCAUCUUCCUAAAGCCCAGGGUUUGUAAGCACUGCUGAGCUAUUUCACUAACCCUGCCUCUACUUUUGGAAUACUAGAAUUAUUUCUGCUUGGGGUGUGUGUGUGUGU